GCCUCCAUAGCUCAGAGGUUAGAGCACUGGUCUCGUAAACCAGGGGUCGCGAGUUCGAAUCUCGCUGGUGGCU
rnacentral:tRNA from 1 species